CGGGUACUUGUACCUGGUGGCGAGCGGCGGACGGGUGAGUAAUGCCUAGGAAUCUGCCUAGUAGUGGGGGAUAACGUCCGGAAACGGGCGCUAAUACCGCAUACGUCCUACGGGAGAAAGUGGGGGAUCUUCGGACCUCACGCUAUUAGAUGAGCCUAGGUCGGAUUAGCUAGUUGGUGAGGUAAUGGCUCACCAAGGCGACGAUCCGUAACUGGUCUGAGAGGAUGAUCAGUCACACUGGAACUGAGACACGGUCCAGACUCCUACGGGAGGCAGCAGUGGGGAAUAUUGGACAAUGGGCGAAAGCCUGAUCCAGCCAUGCCGCGUGUGUGAAGAAGGUCUUCGGAUUGUAAAGCACUUUAAGUUGGGAGGAAGGGUACUUACCUAAUACGUGAGUAUUUUGACGUUACCGACAGAAUAAGCACCGGCUAACUCUGUGCCAGCAGCCGCGGUAAUACAGAGGGUGCAAGCGUUAAUCGGAAUUACUGGGCGUAAAGCGCGCGUAGGUGGUUUGUUAAGUUGGAUGUGAAAGCCCCGGGCUCAACCUGGGAACUGCAUCCAAAACUGGCAAGCUAGAGUAUGGUAGAGGGUGGUGGAAUUUCCUGUGUAGCGGUGAAAUGCGUAGAUAUAGGAAGGAACACCAGUGGCGAAGGCGACCA
rnacentral:rRNA from 1 species